rnacentral:rRNA from 1 species
GAUGAACGCUAGCGAUAGGCUUAACACAUGCAAGUCGAGGGGCAGCAUGAUCUUAGCUUGCUAAGGUCGAUGGCGACCGGCGCACGGGUGCGUAACGCGUAUGCAACUUGCCUUACAGAGGGGGAUAACCCGUUGAAAGACGGACUAAAACCGCAUACACUUGUAUUAUUGCAUGAUAUUACAAGGAAAUAUUUAUAGCUGUAAGAUAGGCAUGCGUCCCAUUAGCUGGUUGGUGAGGUAACGGCUCACCAAGGCGACGAUGGGUAGGGGAACUGAGAGGUUUAUCCCCCACACUGGUACUGAGACACGGACCAGACUCCUACGGGAGGCAGCAGUGAGGAAUAUUGGUCAAUGGGCGAGAGCCUGAACCAGCCAAGUCGCGUGAAGGAAGACAGUCCUAAGGAUUGUAAACUUCUUUUAUACGGGAAUAACGGGCGAUACGAGUAAUG